rnacentral:rRNA from 1 species
UACGUAGGUGGCAAGCGUUGUUCGGAAUUAUUGGGCGUAAAGGGCGCGUAGGCGGCAUGUUAAGUCGGCUGUGAAAGUCAGGGGCUCAACCCCUGAUCGGCCGUGCGAACUGGGGGGCUGGAGCACUGUAGAGGCAGGCGGAAUUCCGGGUGUAGCGGUGGAAUGCGUAGAGAUCCGGAAGAACACCGGUGGCGAAGGCGGCCUGCUGGGCAGUGGCUGACGCUGAGGCGCGACAGCGUGGGGAGCAAACAGG